AAUCACAAGAUGAUCGCGCAAAGCUAACGCUUUGUGAGGAAAGUCCUGGCUGGCGCAAGCUGCGAUGCGAUUUACGCAAGGUGUGGAGCCUGCUUGCAGGGAAGGUGCUUGACGCAAGUCAAGGUAGGGCAACCUAACGGCGGGGAAAAUAUCUCUUUGAGGUAUGACUACCCAUAAAGUGCUAUAGUGACGAUGCUACCUGGCGACAGGUAGAGUGAGACGACGUAAACCCCGCCUUGCCAGAAACCCUCUGAGAGGGGAACUUUCCAAUGGGAAUUGAACCGGAGGAAAGCGCGGCAAAAGCCGUGAGAAAGAUGAUCAUCCACGACAGAACCAGGCUUAUCGUG
rnacentral:RNase_P_RNA from 1 species